UAUAGCAUUUAACUUUGGUCUUUGUUGGUCGAAUUCUAUUCAGUGCAUCACGAAUAAUGUUUUCCCACUUUGGAACUGGGCGGUUAUCUUCAGCACCAAAUAUAUUCCCAGCAUUUAAUGGCACAAUCUCCUGAAGACCAAAAACAUAGAUGUCAGCAGGUUCAUCAAUAUCAAUCCACUCAUCAAUAUCUAGAUCAUCAGGUGGUAGUUUUCCUCCAACAUUCCAUGUACCAAUGCAUAUUCUGAGUUCCUUUGUGUUUAUAUACUGUGUCCUAAAAGUUUCUGAUUUUCGUCUCCUUAAUCUUGGAAGAGCAUCAUUGAUAGGAUCAAGCUGAGCAUCCUCUCCUCCAUUACCUCUAAACCGCGAUUCUCCACCGCACUCACAAAAUUCUUCGGUAUCAGAAGCAGAAUCAUUGUCACCGUCGUCUGAGUCAGUGUCGGCACUGUAAUCGGAAUCUUUGGUGGAGAUGUUAAGCAAUUUACGCAUGACCACUCUGGGCCAAAACAGCUCUUCAUGGGGCUUUGAGCGAGACUGCAUGGUCUGUGGAUUUUUCAUGACGCGAAAAUGUUAAAAUACAUAUAAAAAUCAAAGGAGGAGGAAGAAGAAGAGGAGAAACA
rnacentral:misc_RNA from 1 species